rnacentral:rRNA from 1 species
UACAUAGGGUGCAAGCGUUAAUCGGAAUUACUGGGCGUAAAGCGUGCGCAGGCGGUUGUGUAAGACAGAUGUGAAAUCCCCGGGCUCAACCUGGGAACUGCAUUUGUGACUGUAGAGCUGGAGUGACGGUAGAGGGGGAUGGGAAUUCCGCGUGUAGCAGUGAAAUGCGUAGAUAUGCGGAGGAACACCGAUGGCGAAGGCAAUCCCCUGGACCUGUACUGACGCUCAUGCACG